AUUGAACGCUGGCGGCAGGCCUAACACAUGCAAGUCGAGCGGAUGAGAGGAGCUUGCUUCUUGAUUCAGCGGCGGACGGGUGAGUAAUGCCUAGGAAUCUGCCUGGUAGUGGGGGACAACGUUUCGAAAGGAACGCUAAUACCGCAUACGUCCUACGGGAGAAAGCAGGGGACCUUCGGGCCUUGCGCUAUCAGAUGAGCCUAGGUCGGAUUAGCUAGUUGGUGAGGUAAUGGCUCACCAAGGCGACGAUCCGUAACUGGUCUGAGAGGAUGAUCAGUCACACGGGAACUGGGGCACGGUCCAGACUCCUACGGGAGGAAGCAGUGGGGAAGAUUGGACAAUGGGCGAAAGCCUGAUCCAGCCAUGCCGCGUGUGUGAAGAAGGUCUUCGGAUUGUAAAGCACUUUAAGUUGGGAGGAAGGGUUGUACGUUAAUACCGUGCAAUUUUGACGUUACCGACAGAAUAAGCACCGGCUAACUCUGUGCCAGCAGCCGCGGUAAUAC
rnacentral:rRNA from 1 species